CUGACACACGCGAUACACACACGCGGAGUGAUGGCGGCAUGCCAUCAAUUAAACAAAUGAAACAUAAUGAGAAACAGACGAGAGGGAGAGAUCAGCCAGAGAGAACAGGUGCAAAAAUGAGGAAUGAUGCAGAGGGAGCUGAGGACAGCAGGUUAAUCUGAGGAAUGUUUGAGCAGCAGACAGAUUCUUCAAUGUUUGAAACCAAAAGAAACAAGGGCUGGGGUUGAAAGGAGGUUAGCGGAGAGGGGGUCCGACGCGUCUGGAAGGAGCCUGGGG
ensembl:lncRNA